GCUUGAACUCAUUACCUGAGCUGAGAUCAAGAGUCAGAUGCUUAACCAACUGAAGCACCCAGGUGUACCCAUUCAGCCCUGUCUUCUAGUCUCCAUGACGCUCUUAGGAAGAAAAUACCUGAGAAGCGGCGAUUAAUUACUGUCUGAAAAGUGCUUUGAGAUCCUCCGGAGAAAGACCCAAGAUGAUCUUCAUUUCUCAUGGCCCUCUUAACUCCCACCGAGUCCUCACCUGGCUUCAGAAACCUUCUCAACACCGUGCUUUGGGAGACCAUUAUUGAUCAGUGGACUGGACCUGGAGAUGAAACUUAUUUGCAAUGUCUGAUUUAGGAAGACUGGAAAGGCCAUAGAAAUAGACGUGCAUUCUCAGAGUUUCUCAAUAUCUACCAAACAUAGCAGAAGAACUUAUUUGGUUCUUUGAACCUGUGUGGUUGAUCGACACUUUGAUUGAUUUCAGUCUCAGGAUAUCUUAUCAAAAUAUUAAAGUUGAAGAGGCCUUGGGGCGCUGAGAUGGCUCAGUCAGUUAAGCCUCCCACUUCGGCUCAGGUCAUGAUCUU